rnacentral:tRNA from 1 species
AGUCCUGUGGUGAAACCACGUCGGAUUGCAAAUCCGAAGAUGCAGACUAAAACCUGCCGGGGCUU